rnacentral:rRNA from 1 species
CGUCAAAUCAUCAUGCCUUUAUGACCUGGGCUACAAACGUACUACAAUGGCCAGAUACAAAGAGAUGCGAAGCCGCGAGGUGGAGCGAACCUCAUAAAAAUGGUCUCAGUUCGGAUUGGAGUCUGCAACUCGACUCCAUGAAGUCGGAAUCGCUAGUAAUCGCGGGUCAGCAGACCGCGGUGAAUACGUUCCCGGGUUUU